rnacentral:lncRNA from 1 species
GGCCCAGUUCACUUCUGCUCAGAAGAUCCCUGCAGAAGCUCUUGCCUCCAUGGGUACCUUGUAUGAAGAGAGUGAGCCUAGUACAGUUUCCAGAAAUGUGAAUCUGGAGUCACCCUCUAUUAUCUCAGGCUGGAGUUUCCUUGCCUUGUUUGUUUACCAUAGGGGAGGUGAAGGCGCAGGGACAACGCAAUGCCAUCUGAAGUUAAAAUGCUCUGGACUUGCCUGUGCCAUCCCUCAAAGUCCUGCCUUGCUUGCUUGCAGAGGUGGGAUGCAGGAGACCACUCAAUACUCAGCAGAGAGGGAUGGAUUCACCUUGCCUGCUCCUCCCUCUCACCAGGGAAUUAUGCACUGUGGUAGAGGAAGGACCUCUGGUGUCCCCACAGAUAGUAAGCUUGAGUCAUGAUGUGAAGCCUCAUUUUUCAGCCAACCUAAAG